rnacentral:rRNA from 1 species
GACGAACGCUGGCGGCGUGCUUAACACAUGCAAGUCGAACGGAAAGGCGCUGCUUGCAGGGUGCUCGAGUGGCGAACGGGUGAGUAACACGUAGGUGAUCUGCCCCUUACUUUGGGAUAAGCCUGGGAAACUGGGUCUAAUACUGGAUAGGACCAUGCUGUAGGUGGUGGGUUGGAAAGUGUAGGUUCGGUAUGGGAUGAGCUCGCGGCCUAUCAGCUUGUUGGUAGGGUAAUGGCCUACCAAGGCGUCGACGGGUAGCCGGCCUGAGAGGGUGGGCGGCCACAUUGGGACUGAGAUACGGCCCAGACUCCUACGGUAGGCCGCAGUGGGGAAUAGUGCACAAUGGGCGCAAGCCUGAUGCAGCGACGCCGCGUGGGGGAUGACGGUCUUCGGGUUGUAAACUCCUUUCAGCCAUGACGAAGCGCUUGUGGUGACGGUAGUGGUAGAAGAAGCCCCGGCUAACUACGUG